UACGAGGGCCUCAAGCGUUAUCCGGAAUUAUUGGGCGUAAAGGGUGUGUAGGCGGUCAUAUUAGUCUUGUGUUAAAGCCUGUCGCCUAACGGCAGACAUGCAUGGGAAACGGUAUGACUGAGAGGGUGCAAGAGGUGUAUGGAACUCAUGGUGUAGGGGUGAAAUCCGUUGAUAUCAUGGGGAACGCCAAAAGCGAAAGCAAUACACUGGUGCAUACCUGACGCUGAAACACGAAAGCCAGGGUAGCGAAUGGG
rnacentral:rRNA from 1 species